rnacentral:rRNA from 1 species
GACAUACCAUUGACAGGUGCAGAGAUGUACCCUUCUUCGGACAAUGGAUACAGGUGGUGCAUGGUUGUCGUCAGCUCGUGCCGUGAGGUGUUGGGUUAAGUCCGCAACGAGCGCAACCCCUAUUGCUAGUUGCUAACAUUCAGUUGAGGACUCUAGUGAGACUGCCAGUGAUAAACUGGAGGAAGGUGGGGAUGACGUCAAAUCAUCAUGCCCUUUAUGACCUGGGCUACAAACGUACUACAAUGGCCAAUACAAAGAGAUGCGAAGUCGCGAGAUGGAGCGAACCUCAUAAAAAUGGUCUCAGUUCAGAUUGAAGUCUGCAACUCGACUUCAUGAAGUCGGAAUCGCUAGUAAUCGCGGAUCAGAACGCCGCGGUGAAUACGUUCUCGGGGUUU